GCUAUCGAGAUUCGACUAAGCCAUGCGAGUUGAAUGUUCUUCGUGAACAUGGCGGACUGCUCAGUAACACGUGGACAACCUACCCUUCGGUCCGGCGAUAAUCCCUGGGGAAAACUGGGGGAUAAUUCCGGAUAGGUCACAGAUGCUGGAAUGCUCUGCGACUCAACGCUCCGGCGCCGAAGGAUGGGUCUGCGGCCUAUCAGGGUUGUAGUGGGUGUAACGUACCUACUAGCCUACGACGGGUACGGGUUGUGAGAGCAAGAGCCCGGAGAUGGAUUCUGAGACACGAAUCCAGGCCCUACGGGGUGCAGCAGGCGCGAAAACUUUACAAUGCGGGAAACCGUGAUAAGGGAAUCUCGAGUGCCAGCAUAUAAUGUUGGCUGUCCAGAUGCCUAAAAAGCAUCUGUUAGCAAGGGCCGGGCAAGACCGGUGCCAGCAGCCGCGGUAAUA
rnacentral:rRNA from 1 species